rnacentral:tRNA from 1 species
GCCCAAGUGGUGGAAUUGGUAGACACGCUAUCUUGAGGGGGUAGUGGCGAGAGCCGUGCCGGUUCAAGUCCGGCCUUGGGCACCA